AGAGUUUGAUCAUGGCUCAGAUUGAACGCUGGCGGCAGGCCUAACACAUGCAAGUCGAGCGGAUGAAGGGAGCUUGCUCCUGGAUUCAGCGGCGGACGGGUGAGUAAUGCCUAGGAAUCUGCCUGGUAGUGGGGGACAACGUUUCGAAAGGAACGCUAAUACCGCAUACGUCCUACGGGAGAAAGCAGGGGACCUUCGGGCCUUGCGCUAUCAGAUGAGCCUAGGUCGGAUUAGCUAGUUGGUGAGGUAAUGGCUCACCAAGGCGACGAUCCGUAACUGGUCUGAGAGGAUGAUCAGUCACACUGGAACUGAGACACGGUCCAGACUCCUACGGGAGGCAGCAGUGGGGAAUAUUGGACAAUGGGCGAAAGCCUGAUCCAGCCAUGCCGCGUGUGUGAAGAAGGUCUUCGGAUUGUAAAGCACUUUAAGUUGGGAGGAAGGGUUGUAGAUUAAUACUCUGCAAUUUUGACGUUACCGACAGAAUAAGCACCGGCUAACUCUGUGCCAGCAGCCGCGGUAAUACAGAGGGUGCAAGCGUUAAUCGGAAUUACUGGGCGUAAAGCGCGCGUAGGUGGUUCGUUAAGUUGGAUGUGAAAUCCCCGGGCUCAACCUGGGAACUGCAUCCAAAACUGGCGAGCUAGAGUAUGGUAGAGGGUGGUGGAAUUUCCUGUGUAGCGGUGAAAUGCGUAGAUAUAGGAAGGAACACCAGUGGCGAAGGCGACCACCUGGACUGAUACUGACACUGAGGUGCGAAAGCGUGGGGAGCAACAGGAUUAGAUACCCUGGUAGUCCACGCCGUAAACGAUGUCUACUAGCCGUUGGGAGCCUUGAGCUCUUAGUGGCGCAGCUAACGCAUAAAGUUGACCGCCUGGGGAGUACGGCCGCAAGGUUAAAACUCAAAUGAAUUGACGGGGGCCCGCACAAGCGGUGGAGCAUGUGGUUUAAUUCGAAGCAACGCGAAGAACCUUACCAGGCCUUGACAUCCAAUGAACUUUUCAGAGAUGGAUUGGUGCCUUCGGGAACAUUGAGACAGGUGCUGCAUGGCUGUCGUCAGCUCGUGUCGUGAGAUGUUGGGUUAAGUCCCGUAACGAGCGCAACCCUUGUCCUUAGUUACCAGCACGUUAUGGUGGGCACUCUAAGGAGACUGCCGGUGACAAACCGGAGGAAGGUGGGGAUGACGUCAAGUCAUCAUGGCCCUUACGGCCUGGGCUACACACGUGCUACAAUGGUCGGUACAAAGGGUUGCCAAGCCGCGAGGUGGAGCUAAUCCCAUAAAACCGAUCGUAGUCCGGAUCGCAGUCUGCAACUCGACUGCGUGAAGUCGGAAUCGCUAGUAAUCGCGAAUCAGAAUGUCGCGGUGAAUACGUUCCCGGGCCUUGUACACACCGCCCGUCACACCAUGGGAGUGGGUUGCACCAGAAGUAGCUAGUCUAACCUUCGGGAGGACGGUUACCACGGUGUGAUUCAUGACUGGGGUGAAGUCGUAACAAGGUAGCCGUAGGGGAACCUGCGGCUGGAUCACCUCCU
rnacentral:rRNA from 1 species